AGGUGAUAUAUUGAAAAAUGGUAUAUGUAAUUAAUAUUAUUUUAAGGAUUAUAAAUCAAAAUUUAUAAAUGAUAAAAAGAUUAACUAAAAAGUAAUCAAUCAUAAUCAUGAAAAUGAUAAAAAAUAAAAACAAGUGGAAUGAAACAUCUGAGUAACUUGUAAAAUAACCAACAGGGAUAAUAUAAGUAACGGUGAGUGAAAGUAUUAGAAUCUUAAAGUAUUACCAAGAGGUAAGAAUAAAGUAGUUUCCAACUACUAAGAAAAAAAAAUAAAUUUUAGAUUAAAGUACCGCAAGGGAAAGUAAGAAAAUAGAAUAAUAAAGAGCAAUCAUUGAAUGGUUUACCUCUUGUAUAAUGGGCCAGUGAGUUAUAUAUUUUAGUGAGAUUAAAUUCGUAUAUAAAUAGAAAUUAAUUAAAGUAUAUAGGCCCGAAAGCAAACGAUCUACACAUGUCCAAGUGUAUAUAAAACCUUAUAAGGUAUAUAUAUGACUCAAUAGGUAAUUGUAGCAAUAAUUUCUAAAGAGGUGUGUGUAGCUGUGACAGACAAAUCUGGUUUGCAGAUAGCUGGUUUUCUGCGAAAUAUAUUUUAGUAUAGCCUUUAUAAUCUGUUAAAUUAACAGACAUUUAAACUGGUACAGCACUUAAAUACCUUUGGGGAAUUAGAAUAUAAUUUUAUCAAAAUAUUUAAACCUCGGAAUCAGUGAAUAAUGAAAUAUAAGGAGUCAGACUUAUUGCGAUAAGGUAGUAAGUCGAGAAGGAAACAACCUAGACUAUUAAAUGAAUGUCCCAAAUAUUAAUUAAGUGAAUAAAAUCUAUCCUACUUUAAUUUUUAUAAAAAUGAAAAGUUAAAAUCAUAUGAUUUUACAUUAUUAUAUAUAAAUGCCGGCCGAAGGCCGGCAUUUAUAAACCUAAUCUUUUAGGCCAUAAUAUACGGGGUAUUAAAUUAUAGACAAUUAGUAAGUGGGUUUGACAAUAAUCAACUUUUAAUGAACAUGUAACAAUGCACUAAUUUUAUAUAUAUAUAUAUAAUUUUAUAUAUAUAUUUAUUAAUAAUAGAGAAAAUAUAUCGGGUCUAAAUUAAUAACAGUAUUAUAGAUAUAAUCAUAAAGAUUAUAUGGUAGCAGAAUAUAUAAUGAAAAAUUAUAAAGAGAUUGCUGGCUUGAGUAACGAUAGAUAAUAUAAGAUUAUCCCCUUAUUCAUAAGGUUUUACUAUAAACGAACGGUCCCUAAGAUUAAUAUAGAAAUAUAUAAUUAAUGGGUAAAAGAACAAGAAAAUAAAAAUGAACCGUACUGUAGACCGACACAGGUAUGAUAAAAAGGGAAUGGGAUAACUACUUUGAAUGAACUCGGCAAAAUAAAUCGUGCGACUGUUUACCAAAAACAUAGCUUAUUGCAUACUAGUAAUAGUAAGUAUAAUAAGUGAUAUCUGCCCGGUGUUAGUUUAAUAAAUAUUAUUAUUGUUUAGAUAAUUUUAUAAAAGACUGAUAAACGGCGGUCUUAUUGUGAGGAUCCGAAGGUAGCGAAAUUCAUGUGCGACUUGCAAAGUCGCAUUAAACAAUACUCCCAAAGGAGUCAAGCAGAGGAAGCUUGUACCUAUCUACACAUGCGUUGGAAGUGAUUCCUAGGUGUGAAGCUGUAGAAAAAAGGGUAGCUUAUACUUGUAGCCAAUUAUGAGUAUAAGAGCUUAGGUAGAAAAGAUAAGGAUAACGAAAGUGAAUGGGCGACUAAAGUACCAUAAGCUACAUUUAUUCCGUUAAAUUGGUAUAGGAAUAAAAAACCCAAGAGAUGUAAAUAUGAUGUGAGUUAGUAUUUUCCUUCAUCGUUUGAAUUGGGUGGGUCAAAGUCCAAUUCUAAGUCUUUUAUCUAUAAAUAUAGACGUGUUUAAUGCGGAACAAGGUAAGCCUAAUAUUAGUAACUAGUUGUAUAACUAGAAAUAAAUCUAUAAUUGAGAGAUAUUUCAUGAAGUGAUUUAUUUAAAUAGUAGGUAAAGGAUAAUAUAAAAAGCAAAUGAUUUAUUGUAAUGAUAGAUAUAGGGUUUUACCUAACUCGAAAGAGUGCUGACUUAUAUAUAACGUGAUAUACAGUGAUACAGAUAUUUUGUUUUUAUAGAAAUAAAAAUGACUCAUUAUUUUUUUAUUUGUAUUUAUAAUAAUUAUUUUAAUAAUAAUAUACACAUGAACUGAAAUUUAGAUUUCAUAAACAAAACUGUAAAAAAAUAUCAGAAUGAUAUUGCUGAGGCAUAUGUUAACAAAGAUUUAAAAAAAGUAUCUAAAUUACAAGAAGAAUUAAUAAUGUCUAUUGAAGGUAGACAACUUGCAGUUUGAAAAGUAAUAAAUAAUUCUGGAGCUAAAACACCAGGGAUUGAUGGAGAGAAACCUAAAGAUGCAAGAAAAUCAGAUACUUGACUUGAAUUAAUAGUUGAAAAAUUAUUAGAUCAAGAAGGAUAUAUAGCAAAACCUGUUCGUAGGAUUUAUAUACCAAAAGCAAAUGGAAGUAAACGUCCUUUAGGAAUACCUACAUUUUAUGAUAGAUGUAUGCAAGCUUUACAUUCUUUAACUUUAGCCCCUAUUUCAGAGGCUUGAGCAGAUGAGGGAUCUUUUGGUUUUAGACCUGGAAGAUCUCAACAAGAUGCUUUAAAGUUAACUUGAAUGAGUUUAAAUUCAACUAGAAAAUACUCUGAAAGAACUAAAAGUUAUUAUUACAUACCUAAAUUUCAUCCUAGAUUUAUAAUAGAUGCUGAUAUCAAAGGAUUCUUUGAUAAUAUAGGUCACAAUUGAAUAUUAGAAAAUAUACCAAUAAAUAAAUUAGUUUUAAAACAAUUUCUUGAUGCAGGAUAUAUUGAUAUUAAAAAGUGAUACUCUACUGAAAGUGGAGUUCCACAAGGAGGAGUUAUUUCUCCUAUGAUAUCAAAUAUGGUCUUAGAUGGUUUAUCUAAUCAUUUAAAACAAACUUGUGUUAAGAAUAAAGUUGAUUAUAAAAUAUCUAUUAUUAGAUAUGCUGAUGACUUUAUUGUAAUAUUUCCUUUUAAAAGAAUGGGUCCUAUCUUAUUAAAAGCUAUUAAGCAAUUUUUAGCUGUUAGGGGUUUAACUCUUAAUGAAGAAAAAACUAAGAUAAUAGAUAUAUUAGAAAAUAAAGAUGGAUUUAAAUUUUUAGGAACUCAAGUAUAUAGACCUAGAAGAACUUUAAAAUCAUUUCAAAAUAAAGAAACUUUAAAGUUACUUUCAUCUAAGAAUAUUACAGAAUGAGAUAAACACUUAUUAAUUGUAAGACCUCAUCCUGAUAAAGUAGUAAACUUUAGAAAAGAAUUAAAGAAACUUAUAAUGAAUAAUGUCUAUGUUGACAUAGAUGAGUUAAUUAAACUUAUUAAUCCUAAAUUAAGGGGUUGAUAUAAUUACUAUAAAUAUUCUAAUUCUACUAAUGUUUUCAGAAGUAUUGAUUUAUCAAUAUGAAGAUAUGUUGUCAGAUGAGCUCAGAAAAAGCAUAAUACUAAAUCGUCUAAAUUUAUCUAUAAAAAAUAUACACAUGUAUACAAUAAUCAAAAAUACUUUGGUUAUUGAGAUAAGAAAAGAUUUAUAAAAUUGUUUAAUAUGGGAGAUGCCGGUAUUAGAUACCAUAGUGAAGUUUGUAAAAACCAUAACUAUUAUCUUCUUAAACAUUCUAAUUACUUCAAGUAUAGAAAUAUGAAAUAAUAAAUCUUUAUAACUGAGCUGAUAAGGUAUCUUAGUUGAUACUAAAAGUUAUUGCGUGAGCCGUAUGCGAUGAAAGUCGCACGUACGGUUCUAAAGGGGGGAAAGCUCGAGAGGGCCUACCUAUCCUAACUGACGUAUAAUUGACGUCCUGCAUGAAUGAAUAUACGAUGCGAUAACUGUAUCCAAAGUAGACUCAGUGAAAUAGCAAUUGCGGUGAAGAUGCCGUAUAUCCGUAGGUUGACAAAAAGACCCUAUGCAGCUUUACUAUAUCUUUAUUUUGAUUUUUUAAUCAUAAUUUAUUAUGAUUAACCCUUUUUUUAUUUAUUUCAGUAGAUUAGGUUAUAUUUAUAUUUUAAAUCAAAUGAGAUACCUAUAUAAAUAAAAAAAGAAUCUAAUUAAUAUAGUCAAAAUUCAAUAAAAAUUGAAUUGCCCUUAAAAAGGGUUAUUAAUAAACUAAUGACUUAAGUUUUAACUUAUUUAAGAAAGAGUAAAGAGGUUAGUUUCGAUGGGGCGUCGACAUCAGCGAAAGCAUCUGAUGUGUCUAAUAACAAAGAUCUUGAAUAUCAAGACUAAAUGUUUAAUUAAAUUAUUUAUUUAAUAGUAAAUAACGUACAAUAAUUCUAUAUGGUAAAUAGAAUAAAAAGAUAUGAUAGGUAUUACCUAUCUUUAAAUUUUAUCUUAUCCCCGCUAAGCUUAGCGGGGUAUAUAAGUAAGGAUAACAACAUAAUUGUGCGAUGAUAAUAACACAAACAAGUGGAAUUAGUACUUACGUAGAGUGUAGUGAACAGGCAUAAACAAAUGGUAUGGAUGUCGAUAACGGAUUAAAGUUACGCUAGGGAUUAAAUGUUAGUUCCUUUAUAUAAUAAAUUAUAUAUUAUCUCCGCGAUAGUGAGAUAGCCCUCUAAUGAGGGAAUAUUAAUUGGGUGAAUAACAAAAAACUCUUUAUCAAUAUAAAGACAAUUUGUAACGAAGUAUAUAUUAGUUUUAAUAAGAUAUAUAAACGUUCAACGACUAGUAAUUGAGUAAACUAACAAUAAUAUUACCACGAGCGCCCAAUACCUAAUUUACCCCCCGCCUGAAGAGGCGGGAUAUUAAAUGGGCCCCUUCGGGGCCCAUGAUUAUUUAAUUAAUCUUUAUAUUUUAUAUUUCUUUAAUGCCCCUUUGGGGUAUUUUAUAAUUUAAAUGAUAAUGAUUUUUUAUAUAUGGGCAUUAAGGUAAAGACAUAGUCUGAACUAUAUAGUGAUAUAUAGAAGUUGUAAUUAAAAAAGCAACAAUAACAAAAUUGAACAGGGUAAUACCGCGUGAGAGUUGAUAUCGUCAGCGGUGUUUGCCACCUCGAUGUCGUCUAGACUCGUCCUCCUGGUCGCAGCAACUAGGUAGGGUAGGACUGUUCGUCCUCUAAGGAGUUACUUGAGAUGGGUUAAUUACGACGUGAGUCAGUAAUGAUUUUAUCAUCUAUGGAUUUUUUUCUUAUCUGUUGCCUUAAGUGUACGCAAGGAUAAUAAGGUACAUUCCUAUGGUUAAUUAUUUAAUUUAGCUAAGAAUGUUGUGUUUACAUAUUGAAUGCAUAUCAAAUAUUAAAUCCUUCAGAUAAGUUUAUACAUUAUAGACUAUAAUGUUUUAGUUAAUUUGUGAUUUUCGCAUAUUUACUAAUUAAAUUAUUUAUAAUACUUAUAUUAUAAAUUAAAAUACAUAUACCU
rnacentral:rRNA from 1 species